UCUAGAAGUGAUGUUUCUUAUUACCGCCCCAGUCUGAAAAUUCAUGACUGAUUGGUUAUCUCUGAUCAAAA
rnacentral:snoRNA from 1 species